rnacentral:rRNA from 1 species
AUUGAACGCUGGCGGCAGGCCUAACACAUGCAAGUCGAACGCGUGGCGGACGGGUGAGUAAUGUCUGGGAAACUGCCUGAUGGAGGGGGAUAACUACUGGAAACGGUAGCUAAUACCGCAUACCAUCGGAUGUGCCCAGAUGGGAUUAGCUAGUAGGGGGGGUAAAGGCUCACCUAGGCGACGAUCCCUAGCUGGUCUGAGAGGAUGACCAGCCAAACGGGAACUGAGACACGGUCCAGACUCCUACGGGAGGAAGCAGUGGGGAAUAUUGCACAAUGGGCGCAAGCCUGAUGCAGCCAGGCCGCGUGGGUGAAGAAGGCCUUCGGGUUGUAAAGCACUUUCAGCGGGGAGGCGUUACCCGCAGAAGAAGCACCGGCUAACUCCGUGCCAGCAGCCGCGGUAAUAC